AGAGAAUCAAAUAGCGGGUCUCUCUGUAGCUGCGACUACCUUAGAUAUUGAGCUACACUACAGUAGAUUCUAGAAUGACUCAAGAUUUGAAGAGAAAAGAGACCACAAUUGAAGAUGAUAUUGAAGAGUGUGGCAGCUUGCAAGAAAGGCCAACUAAGAAGGGAAAAACACGUCAAUUUGCUUCAAUGCCGAUUGAUACUUUUCUUCAACUUAACAAUGAACCUGAUGGUGAAGAGCAAUUGGAUGAGAAUGAAGGAGAUAUUAUAGAGGAGCAGGACAAGGAUUAUAUUAAUCCAACUGAGGCUGAGAACAUAGACAAUACUUUGAAAGACAACAGUGAAGAAAACACGAGGUCCUACACAAUGCUUGAAGAUUCAUGCAAGAUAGUUGGAAGAUAGAGAAGAAAUUACUCUAGAUAUUGAAGGGGAGGCAAUUGGUCCUACUGAUGAAGCUGUAAAUAACUUGAGCAAAUUUUUUGGCACAGUGGCAAGGAAUUCAGAUUUUUGUCCAUUAAUUUACACAAAUUAGAAGGGGAUUAAAGAUAAAGAAGCCAUUUGGGAAUAUGUUCAAGGUAAGUUCAUUAUUCCAACUGAAGGAAAGAGGAUAGUCCUUGCUCGUAUCAAUGACAACUGGAGACGGUAUAAGACCACAAUCAAGCAAAAUCAUUUUCUGCCAUACAAAAGUGUUAACGAAAUGCUGAAAAAUCGUCCUAAAAGCAUACCUGAGAGUCAUUUUCGCAAGUUGAUUGCUUAUUGGAGAACUGAGAAAGUUAAGAAAAUGUCUGCGCAGAAUAAGAAAAAUAGGGCACAACAGAAAUUUAGCCAUCGAAAGGGACCAAUAAAUUUUGCAAGAAUACGUGCAAGAUUGGCUGCUUCUAAGGAAAAUAAUGAACCACCUACUCAAGCAGAAAUGUUUGUUGAGACUCGCCAAAGCACAAAGGGAAAAUCAUUGGAUGAAGACACUUUGGAUGUUAUUGUAAGUAUUGGGAGUUAA